AUGGAAUGCAUCACAUCACAGCUAAUCACAAUCAAGGAUGAACCUGUCACCACUAGCCCUCUACAUGGUCCAACUGUGCCAGAACGUAGAAUGGGUCCUGGUCUUUCCCUUACAUAUCAUAACAUAACAGUGUCCAACUGUGCCAGAACGUAGAAUGGGUCCUGGUCUUUCCCUUACAUAUCAUAACAUAACAGUGUCCAACUGUGCCAGAACGUAGAAUGGGUCCUGGUCUUUCCCUUAC
rnacentral:lncRNA from 1 species